CAUCCUAAAUACCAGAAAUUAUAGAUAGAAGGCUUUUGUUUCUAUUUUUAAUCAAGGGAGAAGCUUUUUAUUUUUUUCAAAAGGUCCAGCAAGUGCUGGCUUUCAAUUAUAUUAGCAGGGAGAAUAUAGUUACAGACUGCCGAAGCAGACAAGGAUUAAAAGAAAAGAAAGAAGAACUAACUAAAACAGCUUAAAAACAACACUCAAGGUGGUUCCCACAACAAUCUUCUGAGAGCUUUGGCGCCGGCAAAAGCCCAUGCCUGGGCCUCGUCCCUAAUGAAAUUGAUGAUUUGACGCAAGGAGGUUUCCUUGUCCCGGAAGAUCCUUUCGUUCCUUUCGCGC
rnacentral:lncRNA from 1 species